rnacentral:rRNA from 1 species
CAAAAAGCGGAAAAGAAAAUAACUAUGAUUCCCUUAGUAACGGCGAGUGAACAGGGAAAAGCCCAAAUUUGUAAUCUGGCACUUUUUACAAGUGUCCGAGUUGUAAUUUGUAGAACUGUUAUCCGCGCUGGACCAUGUACAAGUCUGUUGAAAAGCAGCAUCAUUGAAGGUGAAAAUCCUGUAGAUGAUAUGGACUACCAGUGCAUUUGUGAUACGGUUUCUAAGAGUCGAGUUGUUUGGGAAUGCAGCUCAAAGUGGGUGGUAAAUUCCAUCUAAGGCUAAAUAUAAGUGAGAGACCGAUAGCAAACAAGUACCGUGAGGGAAAGAUGAAAAGAACUUUGAAAAUAGAGUUAACAGUACGUGAAAUUGCUGAAAGGGAAACGUUUGAAGUUAGUUUUGUAUUCGUUGGAUCAGCUUCGCAAGGAGUGUAUUCUGAUGAUAAGCAAGUCAACAUCAAUCUAUGAGUGUCGGAGAAGGGUUUUGAGAAUGUAGCAAUUUUUAUUAAUUGUGUUAUAGCUUGAGACUUGGAUACGAUGCUUUGGAUUGAGGAACGCGUAGUAAGCUUUGAGCGGAUUCGAAAGGAUCUCCUUACUAUGGAUGU